CAGUAGCCGCGGUAAUACGUAGGUGGCAGGCGUUGUCCGGAAUUAUUGGGCGUAAAGGGCUCGCAGGCGGUUUCUUAAGUCUGAUGUGAAAGCCCCCGGCUCAACCGGGGAGGGUCAUUGGGAACUGGGAAACUUGAGUGCAGAAGAGGAGAGUGGAAUUCCACGUGUAGCGGUGAAAUGCGUAGAGAUGUGGAGGAACACCAGUGGCGAAGGCGACUCUCUGGUCUGUAACUGACGCUGAGGAGCGAAAGCGUGGGGAGCGAACAGGAUUAGAUACCCCCGUAGUCCCUGUCUCUUAUAA
rnacentral:rRNA from 1 species